UACGUAGGGGGCAAGCGUUAUCCGGAUUUACUGGGUGUAAAGGGAGCGUAGACGGAUGGAUAAGUCUGAAGUGAAAGCCCGCGGCUCAACUGCGGGACUGCUUUGGAAACUGUGCAUCUUGAGUACAGGAGAGGAGAGUGGAAUUCCAUGUGUAGCGGUGAAAUGCGUAGAUAUAUGGAGGAACACCGGUGGCGAAAGCGGCUCUCUGGCCUGUAACUGACACUGAGGCUCGAAAGCGUGGGGAGCAAACAGG
rnacentral:rRNA from 1 species